rnacentral:tRNA from 1 species
GCCAGCGUAGCUUACCCUAAAGCAUAACCUUGAAGCUGUUAAGACGAGCCUUGAUAAGCUCCGCGAGCA